rnacentral:lncRNA from 1 species
AGGAUCCAACCAAGUGUUGAGUAGAAGAGAAAAAAUAGCAAGAAAGGCAUUUUGCCAAAGAGAGAAACAAAUUCUCUCUAGUUGUUCUUUGCUUUGUAUCAUUGUUUUUUCUCUUCCUUUGUGAGUGUGUGAGGUUGGGUGUAUUUGGGUCUUUGGGAAAUUGAGUGGUAAACACUAUUGUAUUCUCUCAUUGAUUAUAGUGGAAUACUCCGUCGUCUCCAAACUGGAUGUAUGCAAUUGCCGAACCAGUAUAAAUCUUGGUGUUGUUCUUGUUGAUUAUUUUGUUCAAUUUUUCUCCUGCCUGUUGUUAUUUAUUUUUCACUCGCAGUUGGUUGACGCUUCCGCACAACAAGUGGUAUCAGAGCUCCAGUUUUUCGACUGGGGUUUCGUGGGAGUG